rnacentral:rRNA from 1 species
UACCCGCAGCACAAGUGGUGGUCAUUAUUAUUGGGCCUAAAGCGUCCGUAGCUGGCGUGUUAGAUGCCUGGGUAAAUCGAUGCGCUUAACGCAUCGAAUUCCGGGUAGACCGGCACGCUCGAGACCGGGAGAGGUAUGGGGUACUCGGGGGGUAGGGGUAAAAUCCUGUAAUCCUCCGGGGACGACCAGUGGCGAAGGCGCCAUACUAGAACGGCUCUGACAGUGAGGGACGAAGCCCUGGGGCGCAAACCAG